ACCCUUCCGGGAACGUGCCAGAGAACCAGCGAGCAAUUUUACCUGAUAAGCCUUCCGUUUUCCACGUAGUACUGCACCCUGAGGAAGGCCACGAAGGGGGCACCGGGCCUGCCGCUUCCCUGGGGGUGGAAGCGUGGAGAGAAGGCGGUACUGAGACCUGGGGGGAGGGGGCUGACCCCCGGCUGGUGCUCAGGAGGGAGCCAUCACCUCCGUCACUUCCGACCCAGCCCGAGGCCACAGCUCAGUCCUUUGAGAAGUAUUUGCUGAGCUUCUGCUCCAAAUCCAUGAAGACGUGCUCGCUGUCUACAAAGAGAAGCAGGGCCUGGAGCAGAGCGUGCUGGGAGGGGCCCAUGUGUGACCAGUCACACGUGGUGGCCUCCUCGGGGUGGCAGGCUGAAGGAGCGUGUCUCCUGACGUGCAGGCUUUACCGGGUGGUUUUCCAAAGUGUGGAAUCUUUAGAUACUGAAACCUAGACACUGACAUUGCGAUGGCACUGGAGCUGAUACUUGCCGGGGGCGUGACCGUCGGGAAGGGUCUUCCUUCCUCCCAACAGCCCCUCUCCCAGCUGCAGACCGAGUCCUUCGAAACUGGAAAGGCCUAUAAACCUGGGACCAAGCUCCCCAAGUUCAAGUCAACAACCACGUUAACGUGGUCACGCUGGGAAUGGUCACGGGGAACCCUUCUUUCCAAAUUCUACGCUCUGUGUUUUCGGA